rnacentral:miRNA from 1 species
GACGUCGAAUAUCGACGUCAUAAACACCAAAGUUGAUCGUGUUUAUGACGUCGAAUAUCGACGUCAUAAACACCAAAGUUGAUCGUGUUUAUGACGUCGAAUAUCGACGUCAUAAACACCAAAGUUGAUCGUGUUUAUGACGUCGAAUAUCGACGUCAUAAACACCAAAGUUGAUCGUGUUUAUGACGUCGAAUAUCGACGUCAUAAACACCAAAGUUGCUCGUGUUUAUGACGUCGAAUAUCGACGUC